rnacentral:lncRNA from 1 species
UGUGAUUCGCUGUCCAGCAUUACCUUUAUGCAGAAGAUGAAGCAGCAGAGGAAUUGGGAAAAGUACAUCUUCACAUUCAGCUGGAAAUGUGGAAAGGCAGAAAACAAGUCAGCAAGCUACCUCAUUAUGGAACCCUUGCCAAUUAGGUCUCCCAAGAACUAGUUACACAGGAAUAGAUCUGCUGUGAAGGUAUCGGAUUAACUGCAUGUAUUCUUUAUAUUGCUGGUGAGUAUUGAUUGUGUUCUCUGGGUAGUUCAUAAAU